rnacentral:lncRNA from 1 species
AAUUGGGCCGCAUAUUUUAUUUUUGGUUCAAAUUGGUCCUUAUUGCUGCGCACCGCUUCGGGGAAGGGAUUAUUUCCAUUUGGGCCCCCUCAUAUAAUGCGUGCGUUUCAAAUUGGUCCUCGUUCAAUUUUAAUUUCAUUUUUUUUUGUUUUUUGCAAUUUUUUUUAAUUUUUGAAUUUUUAAAAUUAUCACUAUAUAAUUUAUUAUCAUUUAUUAUUAUUUCUCUAUGUAUGCAAGCAUUUUUAAUAUAUAGUAUAUAUACAUAUUUCUUUAUAAUAUAUAU